rnacentral:rRNA from 1 species
UACAGAGGUCUCAAGCGUUGUUCGGAUUCAUUGGGCGUAAAGGGCUCGUAGGCGGUUCGUCACGUCGGGAGUGAAAACUCGGGGCUUAACCCCGAGCCUGCUUCCGAUACGGGCAGACUAGAGGUAGGCAGGGGAGAGCGGAACUCCUGGUGUAGCGGUGGAAUGCGCAGAUAUCAGGAAGAACACCGGUGGCGAAGGCGGCUCUCUGGGCCUUACCUGACGCUGAGGAGCGAAAGCGUGGGUAGCGAACAGG